UACGGGGGGAGCAAGCGUUGUUCGGAUUUACUGGGCGUAAAGGGCGCGUAGGCGGCCAGCACAAGUCAGUUGUGAAAUCUCCGAGCUUAACUCGGAAAGGUCAACUGAUACUGUGCGGCUAGAGUGCGGAAGGGGCAACUGGAAUUCUUGGUGUAGCGGUGAAAUGCGUAGAUAUCAAGAGGAACACCGGUGGCGAAGGCGGGUCUCUGGGCCGUAACUGACGCUGAGGAGCGAAAGCAUGGGGAGCGAACAGG
rnacentral:rRNA from 1 species